rnacentral:lncRNA from 1 species
GACGUAGCUAGGCUGGUCCCUCACACCACCACCUUCCCCCUCCUUUCCCGGAAAUUUUGUUGGGCUUUUGUAGCUUUCCUGUGAGUUUGGCCUCCGAAAAAGCUUGCCAAGAAGUGGGCAAUUUCUGGUUGUAGUUAUUGUCUACCGAGAGAAGGGAAAAGAAAAUUGAUUGGUGUAGGGAGGGCAAUGCGAGGAGGAUACCGAUUGUCCGAAUUCAGAUAUAGGUAAGUUGAUGAGUAUCUUAUAUCUUUUUAGGCGAAUAAACUUUAUUCAGACAAUACAUACUCAGGAGCUUGAUGGGAAAAAAAUAGUUACAAGAAAGCAUGUAACAAUUUUACAAAAUAUCAAUUACAAGAUUUAUUUAUUUAUUUAUUUUGGCAUGUGAGAACAGGAUUAAGUAGUUGGAUAUAAUAGUAUCACACCUAUCAUUUUUUAGAAAAUAAAAUCCAAAUCAUUGAUGUUUUUUUGAAAUAAUAUAUUGGAAACAAACCGGUACCCUUGUUUAAUACACAGUAAUAUGUUUUGUUAUGGGGAUGGAAGAUAUUUUGUUUGGGGCUGGAAGCAGCUGAGAUUAGAGGAUAAGAAAACUUUAUCAGAGGACAAAGUUGUACCUCUCUCAUCUCUAAACCAUGAUUGAUUACUUUGCUAAAGAAUUUUCUGGUUUAUUCGAGUAGCAUAAUUUGAUUGAAGAAUGGAGGUUCCCGCCUGCUAUUUGCUAUUUGCCAUUUGCCAUUUGCCAAUGAGACCAUGGCAUGUGAUGGGGGCUUUAAUAUUGAACACGUGGAAGUCACAUGCCAACGGGUUAAGGAAUGAAGAUGGUGUCCCAGCUGGUUUAGGAAGUACAGCAGAGGUUUUGGUAUGGCAAUAACAGAGAAGACAGAGAGACCACUCAGGUGUUCAAUCCACUGGCUGCUAUACUGCUAGUGCAGAGUACGUUUCCCACUAAUCACUAUUCACUCAUCACUCCUGGUUCAUUCGUCGUUCAGUCUUACGUAAUGGUCCUCAACUUUUUACACAGGCAUUAUACCAUUAGAUAGAUACCAUGUCUAUUUCUGUUUCUCUAGCUUGUAAUUAAGAUUUGUGCAAUGAAAGUGGCCUCAUAAGUAUAUGAGUAAAAAGCUUCAAUGUUAGAAUGAUAAUGUUCUGGGAAAAAGUAUGUCCCUUAAGUAAUUAAACAUGUAAAAUUGAC